rnacentral:rRNA from 1 species
AAAGAUACCCCGGUAGUCCUGGCCGUAAACCAUGAGCACUGGGUAGGGGGCUCGCCGAUGGGUCCCCUGCCGCAGCGAAAGCGUGAAGUGCUCCGCCUGGGGAGUAUGGCCGCAAGGCUGAAACUCGAAGGAAUUGACGGGGGCUCACACAAGCGGUGGAGCAUGUGGCUUAAUUCGAGGCUACGCGAAGAACCUUAUCCCGGGCUUGACAUGCACGGAUUAGCCUCCUGAAAGGGAGGUGACGCCUUCGGGUGGAACGUGCACAGGUGCUGCAUGGCUGUCGUCAGCUCGUGCCGUGAGGUGUUGGGUUAAGUCCCGUAACGAGCGAAACCCCUGCGACCAGUUGCCAUCAUUAAGUUGGGGACUCUGGUCGGACCGCCGGCGUCAAGCCGGAGGAAGGCGGGGACGACGUCAAGUCAUCAUGGCCCUUAUGCCCGGGGCUGCACACGUGCUACAAUGGGCCGGACAGAGCGUCGCCACUGCGCAAGCAGGAGCCAAUCGCAGAAACCGGCCCCCAGUUCGGAUUGUGGG